rnacentral:rRNA from 1 species
ACGAUAACGGCGUCGAGCGGCGGACGGGUGAGUAAUGCCUAGGAAAUUGCCCUGAUGUGGGGGAUAACCAUUGGAAACGAUGGCUAAUACCGCAUGAUGCCUACGGGCCAAAGAGGGGGACCUUCGGGCCUCUCGCGUCAGGAUAUGCCUAGGUGGGAUUAGCUAGUUGGUGAGGUAAGGGCUCACCAAGGCGACGAUCCCUAGCUGGUCUGAGAGGAUGAUCAGCCACACUGGAACUGAGACACGGUCCAGACUCCUACGGGAGGCAGCAGUGGGGAAUAUUGCACAAUGGGCGCAAGCCUGAUGCAGCCAUGCCGCGUGUGUGAAGAAGGCCUUCGGGUUGUAAAGCACUUUCAGUCGUGAGGAAGGUAGUGUAGUUAAUAGCUGCAUUAUUUGACGUUAGCGACAGAAGAAGCACCGGCUAACUCCGUGCCAGCAGCCGCGGUAAUACGGAGGGUGCGAGCGUUAAUCGGAAUUACUGGGCGUAAAGCGCAUGCAGGUGGUUUGUUAAGUCAGAUGUGAAAGCCCGGGGCUCAACCUCGGAAUUGCAUUUGAAACUGGCAGACUAGAGUACUGUAGAGGGGGGUAGAAUUUCAGGUGUAGCGGUGAAAUGCGUAGAGAUCUGAAGGAAUACCGGUGGCGAAGGCGGCCCCCUGGACAGAUACUGACACUCAGAUGCGAAAGCGUGGGGAGCAAACAGGAUUAGAUACCCUGGUAGUCCACGCCGUAAACGAUGUCUACUUGGAGGUUGUGGCCUUGAGCCGUGGCUUUCGGAGCUAACGCGUUAAGUAGACCGCCUGGGGAGUACGGUCGCAAGAUUAAAACUCAAAUGAAUUGACGGGGGCCCGCACAAGCGGUGGAGCAUGUGGUUUAAUUCGAUGCAACGCGAAGAACCUUACCUACUCUUGACAUCCAGAGAACUUUCCAGAGAUGGAUUGGUGCCUUCGGGAACUCUGAGACAGGUGCUGCAUGGCUGUCGUCAGCUCGUGUUGUGAAAUGUUGGGUUAAGUCCCGCAACGAGCGCAACCCUUAUCCUUGUUUGCCAGCGAGUAAUGUCGGGAACUCCAGGGAGACUGCCGGUGAUAAACCGGAGGAAGGUGGGGACGACGUCAAGUCAUCAUGGCCCUUACGAGUAGGGCUACACACGUGCUACAAUGGCGCAUACAGAGGGCGGCCAACUUGCGAAAGUGAGCGAAUCCCAAAAAGUGCGUCGUAGUCCGGAUUGGAGUCUGCAACUCGACUCCAUGAAGUCGGAAUCGCUAGUAAUCGUGGAUCAGAAUGCCACGGUGAAUACGUUCCCGGGCCUUGUACACACCGCCCGUCACACCAUGGGAGUGGGCUGCAAAAGAAGUAGGUAGUUUAACCUUCGGGGGG